rnacentral:sRNA from 1 species
GAAUGAAGAUAGAAAAAGGGCGUUGCGUAAACAACACCCACACAGAGCCGUUUAAGACGGUGGCUGAAUUUAUAGAAUCAUGA